AUCGUAUUGUUAGCAGAAUUCUUUUAAUUUUUCACGCAAAUUAACGUUAAUUACAGAAACGUAAAGCAAUAACAUCUUGGCUUAAAAAAUAUCUUGCUCUCAUUUCCUUUUACUUGGAAAUGUGUGAAAAUGUGGGACCAGUUUUUUUCCGCUAAGUUACACACAGCUGCUUGCAAUUUUUUAAGAGUGUGUCUCUUUGCACAAGCACACCGAUAGAAGAAAAAAAAUGCAAAAACGAUUCCGAAAAUUUGCAGCAAAACAAGGAUUCAUCAACGCGAUUUAAUAGUGAAAUUAGUGUCGUUUGCAUCUGCUCAUAAUGCGCUAUCAAUGUCGUCAUCAAUUAGGACGCGAUGCGGCAAAAAGCCAAUCAAGAAUGCUGCUGCAAAACAUGGCAAGCCGUUGUCGUUACUGUCGGAGCAAGGGUCGAUUUACUACGACUCUAGGUCAAAGUGGCCAUCGGAAGAACAGCUUCAAACAUUGCUGCCUUCUAUCCUCAGCAAACCGGACAACAAUCCAGUGAUCCCCGAAAGCCGCUUCGGAUUCGUCUCCUGUGGUAACCGUAUAGCAUCCCGGAGAACAAACCAAAUAUCAAAAGGUGCCCAAAGACCAUCCCUAAAACGAAUGUAAUUCUGUCGAACAGCUGCUUCCAGUGUGAGACUGAUAAAGAGAGUGGUCUAGAAUAAAUGUUUCAUGUAACAAUAUUUGAUUCAAACCUCAUAAAUAAAAAAAUAAAUUUAUUUAUGCUGUUAA